GGGUGCGACCAUACCAGCACUUGUACACCGGAUUCCAUCAAAACUCCACAGUUAAGUGUUCAUGGGCGAGAGUAGUACUAGGAUGGGUGACCUCCUGGGAAGUCCUCGUGUUGCAUCCU